UACGAAUGGUGCAAGCGUUAAUCGGAAUUACUGGGCGUAAAGCGCGCGUAGGUGGUUUGUUAAGUUGGAUGUGAAAGCCCCGGGCUCAACCUGGGAACUGCAUCCAAAACUGGCAAGCUAGAGUAUGGCAGAGGGUGGUGGAAUUUCCUGUGUAGCGGUGACAUGCGUAGAUAUAGGAAGGAAAACCAGUGGCGAAGGCGACCACCUGGGCUAAUACGGAAACGGAGGUGCGCAAUCGUGGGGAGCCCACAGGCGGCGAUAACACCGUAGUCC
rnacentral:rRNA from 1 species